AGAGUUUGAUCCUGGCUCAGAUUGAACGCUGGCGGCGUGCCUAACACAUGCAAGUCGAGCGGUAACAGGUGUAGCAAUACAUGCUGACGAGCGGCGAACGGGUGAGUAAUGCAUUGGAAUCUUCCCAGUAGUGGGGAAUAACCAGUCGAAAGAUUGGCUAAUACCGCAUACGUCUGUAAAGGGAAAGCGGGGGCUCGUAAGACCUCGCGCUAUUGGAUGAGCCAAUGUCGGAUUAGCUAGUUGGUGGGGUAAUGGCCUACCAAGGCGACAAUCCGUAGCUGGUCUGAGAGGACGACCAGCCACACCGGAACUGAGACACGGUCCGGACUCCUACGGGAGGCAGCAGUGGGGAAUAUUGGACAAUGGGGGAAACCCUGAUCCAGCGACGCCGCGUGUGUGAAGAAGGCCUGCGGGUUGUAAAGCACUUUUAGUGGGGACAAAAAGCUACGGACUAAUACUCUGUGGUCUUGAUUUAACCCAAAGAAAAAGCACCGGCUAACUCUGUGCCAGCAGCCGCGGUAAUACAGAGGGUGCGAGCGUUAAUCGGAAUUACUGGGCGUAAAGCGCGCGUAGACGGUUUUGUAAGUCAGAUGUGAAAUCCCUGGGCUCAACCUGGGAACUGCAUUUGAUACUGCAUGGCUAGAGUAUGGAAGAGGGAAGUGGAAUUUCCGGUGUAGCGGUGAAAUGCGUAGAUAUCGGAAGGAACACCAGUGGCGAAAGCGACUUCCUGGUCCAAUACUGACGUUCAUGUGCGAAAGCGUGGGGAGCAAACAGGAUUAGAUACCCUAGUAGUCC
rnacentral:rRNA from 1 species